AUGCUUCCUGGUACAUAUGUUGGCUCUUCGGCGUUGGUCUUUCACGGACUCACGGACCCGACAACAUUAGAAGCUCUUGCUUGCCGGGAAGCCACUGCUCUGGCCAAGGACUUGAGGAUUACUGAUAUUUGUGUGGCCUCGGAUUGCCUCUCUGUCAACGAUAUUCAUACUGGAACUCUUGGGAUUAUUGCGCCAGUUGUGAAGGAGAUCAACAAUACAGCUACAGAUUUCCUCUCUUGCUCCUUUAUUCAUAAAGGACGUCUCUCCAAUAAGGAGGCUCAUAGUCUAGCUAGGCAUACUUUACAUCUAGAUGAAGGUCAUCAUGUGUGGUUUUUAAACCCUUCUGAUACUGCUAUUAUCCAUGUAACUCGUACCAUUGAUCAAUAA
rnacentral:rRNA from 1 species